CUGCCCUGCAUCUUGGUUAGAAAGAACGGAGAUCUUGGUGGUUAUUGUGCUCGUCGUGACGCCUGAGUGAUAAGUGAUUUGGGAAUUCGUUUCAAAAAAAAUAAGUGAUUGGGAAUCACUGCCUUCGAUGAACCAGGAACGAUGUUAAGGGACCUAAAGGGUGUAUUUCUAAGAGCACGCAAUGAAUAGAUCCAAGAAAGUUCCCUACAUUAACUUUACCAAAAUGGUGUUUAGUGCACCUGUUUUGAAGGAUGGUUCGAAAGACACACUAAGCAGGUACUAUCUUAUUGGUAUAUCGAGUUGGCUGCAUGGAGUUUGAGUUCUGGCAUCUGUAGAAAAUUGUUGUGGCCUUGUGGGAAUGGUCCCAGUUUCAACAUUUGUUUUGUUUCUUGAUUAGUUAGUGUCAUUGAUAGGAGUACUGAUAAACCCGGAUGCUGACCAAUGAAUCUGAUAGCUGCAUGUGCCUAGAUUGUGUUGCAACUUGCAAUUUGAGAUUAUCAGGAAUUGUACCAUGGUUGACAACCUUUAUUAUGUUUAGCUACAUGGAGAUCACUUAUAUUCCUCAUUGCCACAGUACCAAAAUUGUUGUGGUGCCCUUGAUUCAAUACUUGCUAAACCUCCUCCGGUCCAUCCCCAAGUGUCACAUAAAGCAUACCUCUGCAAAACUAACUGUCAGAAAAUUUGAUAACCGGAUGGAUAGGAAGCAGCUCCAACGUUCUGGUGGGAUGCUAAAUCUUCUGAGUGCUGGAGCAUUGUGUCUGUUAGAAUAGGGGGCCUGGUGUCGAGGCUGCAUCAGCAAGUUAUAGUGGGAUGUAGUGACUUGAUGGUUUUGAAAUUAGGCUUAAGUGCCCAAAGCUAAUGGGUUUUCACCUGCGACUUAUGUUUUAACUAUGGUUAGGAAUGGGGCUACAGGGAGGUUGGCUGAGCAAUCAAACUUUGUCAUGGGCUUCUUCAUUUACAUGUUUUCAGGCCUGCUCAUGCUGUGAUCAUCAGGGCUCAAGGUCCAGCUUGAAUGGCAUUAGGAGCUUGUUCAUAUUGGACUCAAGUUGAGCUCAACUUAGAGUCCCAAUAUGAGCCAAGUCUGUGGUUAUUUUUGUAUGCUAUGUUGCUAACUAGAAAGUAUAGCAAAAUAAAGUUUCUACAAUUUAAGAAUGUCGUUGAUCUGUUGUCAUAAAAGAGAACGCUUAAUUCACCUAUGACCAUUUGAGCAUCUUCCGGUGCUGUUCAUUGGUUCCUGGCAUUAUAUGAGGCCUACAUGAAACUCCCACCUACUCUAAUGCAUUGCUUAAGCUGUGGAGUGAUAUUUUGAAUUAAGUGGCGGAUUGAUCUGCUCUUUAAAUGGCUGGUUGUUAUCGAUCGCUCUUUUGUACGAACAAUUGUUUUGCUGUAAUUGUUGAUUUCUAAAGAUAAUAAGUACUGGACCUACAUAACUGAACUUUUUUAUUCUUAUUAAAAUAAGUGGUUGUAAAAGUUUUUGUAUAGCUCGGUAAUCGGUAUGGCCUAAACAUGGCUUAUGUAUAGAAUAGCUAGUAUGUAAGUUAUAAGUGGUUUCUAGUCUGUUCCUUGCAAUUUACUAACACUUGGCGUUCUAGACUAGUCUGUUCAAUAUAAAAUAUUGUUUCAACUGAAGAUCAAAUUAGACUUUUUUAAGCUACAGAAAUGGACAUAACAAAGGCUUCCUGGAACUUCUGUUUCUUAAUUGUGACUUAACCUUGUAGUUGUUUACCUUGCUAAGUUAUUUACUUCAUUUAUGUUGACAGUAGCAACAUAGCUAUACAAUUAACUGAUGAGUACACUUGUACUGUUAAUACCUUUGUUUUCGUCUUUGUGUUUUGUACCUUGAGUUUUUAUUCUUAUUUGUUUAGAUGUAUCAUCCUUAGUUAAAUUCUAAUACUAAAUUACUAAUACAAUGGGUAUUCUGCUCAUUCAUCAGGUUGACUCAACUGCUUGUGAAUCAACAGGGCAAGUUACCAACCUUAAGUCCCAGUUGGUAUCAUUGGAGAGACAGAAUGCUGAAAUGAGGAGGCAGAUUAACGAACUAUCCAUGAAACUUCAAUUGGCUGGACAAGGAAAAGAUGAGACCCUGUACAAGGCUGGUCCUUUUGGAACUGCCAAGGCUUUGAGAACAAAUCCAACUGUAAUCCCUGAUGAAUCUGUUAAUCCCAGGUUGGCCAAGAUACUGGAAGAAGUUGCUGUGAAAAAGGAACUUAUCGUUGCAUUGGCAAACUCCAACGUGAGGGAGAUGCUUGAAGUUUGGUUUACCAAUAUCAAACGAGUUGGUAUUCCAAACUUCCUAGUUGUGGCAUUGGAUGACAAUAUAGAAAGCUUCUGCAAAUCUAAAGGUGUUCCAGUCUACCGGCGUGAUCCUGAUGAAGGAAUUGACAAUAUUGCAAAAACUGGAGGGAACCAUGCCGUUUCUGGACUUAAGUUUCGUGUUUUAAGGGAGUUCUUGCAGCUCGGAUAUAGUAUUCUCCUCUCUGACAUUGAUAUUAUUUUCCUGAGGAACCCAUUCGAUCACCUUUACAGAGAUUCUGAUGUAGAGUCCAUGAGUGAUGGCCACAACAACAUGACAGCUUAUGGUUUCAACGACGUGUUUGAUGAGCCAUCUAUGGGUUGGGCCAGAUAUGCUCACACAAUGCGGAUCUGGGUUUACAACUCCGGCUUUUUCUACAUAAGACCAACAAUUCCUUCUAUUGAACUUCUGGAUCGUGUAGCUUACCGCCUUUCUCAUGAGAAGGCAUGGGACCAAGCAGUCUUCAAUGAGGAACUGUUCUUCCCAUCUCGUCCAGGUUAUGAAGGUCUUCAUGCAUCCAGGAGAACCAUGGAUAUAUAUUUCUUCAUGAACAGCAAAGUUCUCUUCAAAACUGUGAGGAAAGACGCUCAGCUCAAGAAGUUAAAGCCAGUGAUUGUGCAUUUGAACUAUCAUCCUGACAAGUUAGAUCGGAUGAAAGCUGUUGUUGAGUUCUAUGUGAAUGGAAAGCAAGAUGCGCUGCAACGUUUCCCUGAUGGGUCAGAAUGAGGAAAUUGCAGAUUUUUCUGGUACAGAAAGAAAUAUAUACCUGCUAUUAUAUCCUUGUGGCUGUGGGAUUGUUUUGGCAUUAGGAUGGGUCGAUGGGAUCCUCUUGCCCGCGAGAAUGUUUGAUGGUCGAGUGCCAUAUGGAUCCUUUGAGCUUGAGCUAUUUGGACGUCGCCUUAGUCUCUACUAACCUCAACAGUUCUGUAGCGAACAUGGAGUAGCUUAGAUGGCUGAUCACAUUUUUCAUUUUUAUCUGAGCUUUCGACACCACUAUAUGCUUUGAUGCUGGCGUUUCCUUGUAUCGUGGUUUGCCUGUGAGUUUGAGAACCAGUUACAGUUUUGAUGAUGAUACGGAUUAAAAAUUCUCGGCAUUAUCCACACACUGCUGUGGACAGGGUUUGAGCACCGGAUUUUCUUUUUGUCCUCCAUGAUUGGAAACCUUCGAAUCUAUCGAAAACUGAUGUGAUCUUGGUUUGUUCAUUUCUGCCGUUUUCCUGCCGCUGACCCCGAAAACAGUGUGGGGAACAUGUUGUUUGGCACAGCUCGAAGCAUCACCAUGUACUGUAGCGCCGGUGAAGCUAAAGAAACUGCCUUCACCGGCUUUACCUUUCUCGCUUUUAGUUCAUUUGAUCAUUUCCUUCAUCAGUUUGGCUUCAUGAUACAGUACCGAGUAGGGUUGUACUCUCUCUGUUCCUAAUUGUAGAUCGUUUUUACUAUGCACCUAUAUAGUGUAGGUGUAGAUUUAUGAACUUAGAAAAUCUAAAACGAUUUACAAUUUAAAACGGAGUGAGUAUACUGUAAAAGGGAGCUUAGGCUAGAGCCGUACCAAUGCAGCCUUAUCUGAGUUCUUGACAUCGGAAGGAAAUGGAGGCGGUUGCCACAUACUCCGACCUACUACCAGCUAGAUGCUUUGAUGGUG
rnacentral:lncRNA from 1 species